GACGAACGCUGGCGGCGUGCUUAACACAUGCAAGUCGAACGGAAAGGCCCUGCUUUUGUGGGGUGCUCGAUUGGCGAACGGGUGAGUAACACGUGAGUAACCUGCCCUUGACUUUGUGAUAACUUCAGGAAACUGGGGCUAAUACCGGAUAUGAUCUCCUGCUGCAUGUUGGUGGUUGGUAAGUUUCGGCGGUAGGGGAUGGACUCGCGGGUUAUCAGCUUGUUGGUGUGGUAGUUGCUUACGAAGCUUUCGACGGGUAGCCGGCCUGAGAGGGUAGACGGGGUCAUGGGUACUACGAUAGGGCGCAGAAUCCUACGGGAGGCAGCGGGGGGGAGUAUUGCAGAGUGGGGGGAAGCGUGAUGCAGCAACGCCGGGAGCGGAAUGAUGGCCUUCGGGUUGUAAACCGAUUUGGAAUGUGACGAAGAGUGAGUGACGGUAAUGGGUAAAGAAGCACCGGCUAACUACGUG
rnacentral:rRNA from 1 species